rnacentral:rRNA from 1 species
CAGCCGCCACGGUAAUACGAAGGGGGCUAGCGUUGCUCGGAAUGACUGGGCGUAAAGGGCGCGUAGGCGGUUUGGACAGUCAGAUGUGAAAUUCCUGGGCUUAACCUGGGGGCUGCAUUUGAUACGUUCAGGCUUGAGUGUGGAAGAGGGUCGUGGAAUUCCCAGUGUAGAGGUGAAAUUCGUAGAUAUUGGGAAGAACACCGGUGGCGAAGGCGGCGACCUGGUCCAUUACUGACGCUGAGGCGCGAAAGCGUGGGGAGCAAACAGGAUUAGAUACCCGCGUAGUCCCUGUCUCUUAUAC